CACACAACAAUCUGCAAUUCGCUCCUUUAACACAAACACUAGUUCAAAUGAGGACUACCCGGAUGUUGCUUCUGUCCUUCCUAUUUCUCAUGUUAGCAUCAGAUGUGGUAGUGGAUGCAUCAAUGGAUGAUAGCAUGAAACUCUUCACAUGUGUGGACAAAAUUCUCCCAUCGACAAAGCCAUGUAAUAGAAAAACUUGUGAAAAUGAAUGUGUGAAACGUACAAGGCAAGCCAAAAAAAGCGAGUGUACUCCUGAUGGGUGCCUGUGCAGGUUAUGCAUAAAACCGGCUCCAACCAUCUAUAAUAACGAACAAAUGGGUACCAACUAGCUUAUAUAGAACCCUAAAAAACUAGCUUAUAUAGGAUAGUGUGUUAAGCAAAUAAAGUGACGAAAUCACAAAUGAUGUAGUAGCAAGAUUGUUCACUCAUAAGCCAUAUGAAGAGUUGUGAAUUUGUUCUUGCUUCUUGAGUUAUUUGAAAUCAAGAAGUAGCUAUAAAUUUUGUAUGCUUGAAAAAUGUUUUUCUUUUGUUU